UCCGAGUUGACCCCGGCAGUCUCCUAUGAGUCCCCACCAUUACGUGCUGGCAACAUAGGACGAGGGUUGCGCUCGUUGCGGGACUUAACCCAACAUCUCACGACACGAGCUGACGACAACCAUGCACCACCUGUACACGAGUGUCCAAAGAGUGCGUUAUCUCUAACACGUUCUCGUGUAUGUCAAGCCUUGGUAAGGUUCUUCGCGUUGCAUCGAAUUAAUCCGCAUGCUCCGCCGCUUGUGCGGGCCCCCGUCAAUUCCUUUGAGUUUUAGCCUUGCGGCCGUACUCCCCAGGCGGGGAACUUAAUGCGUUAGCUGCGGCACAGAAUCAGUGGAACUGACCCCACACCUAGUUCCCAACGUUUACGGCAUGGACUAC
rnacentral:misc_RNA from 1 species